CGAAGACCCUUUUAUUAACAUUCUGCUGUUUUAUCGGCCCGAUACAUGUUGAUUGACAUAUGAUACCAUUUAUCUCAGUUGGCAAGACAUGACAUUGGCGCUUGAUCAAAAGCGAUGGAAGAAAGCUAUUGAGAAAAAGCAACAGCGAGCUUAAGCUCAUUAUUCUUUCCUGCCCCUUGGGCCCCAGUUGGAUGAGCAUGUGUCUGGUCAUCAAUUCUGGCGCAUGAAGUUUCAGAGUUUUCUAUCUCUACACAUAAUGUAUUGACUGAGGUUCUACUUUUGGUUUCCCUAUGUAGCGUUAGAGCACUGUGAAAACGAAUGAAUUAUGUUAAACUGCCCCCAAUUUUUAUGUUUGCUACAUCCCAGAUCCUCACAUGACAUUCA